GAGCCGCUAGCUCAGCUGGUAGAGCAUCUGACUUUUAAUCAGAGGGUCGAAGGUUCGAAUCCUUCGCGGCUCA
rfam:Caldalkalibacillus thermarum TA2.A1 ctg12, whole genome shotgun sequence.